GACGAACGCUGGCGGCGUGCCUAAUACAUGCAAGUCGAACGCAUUUUCUGUCACCGGAGCUUGCUACACCGGAAGAAAAUGGGUGGCGGACGUGUGAGUAACACUUGGGUAACCUGCCCAGCAGCGGGGGAUAACACUUUGAAACGGGUGCUAAUACCGCAUAAUUCCAUUUGCCGCAUGGGAGAUGGAUGGAAGGCGCUGUUGCGUCACUGAUGGAUGGACCCGCGGUGCAUGAGCUAGUGGGUGGGGUAACGGCCUAGCAAUGCUGCGAUGCAUAGCCGACCUGAGAGGGUGCUCGGCAAAACUGGGACUGAGACACGGCCCAGAAUACUACGGGAGGCAGAAGUAGGGAAUCUUCGGCAAUGGCAACAAGUCUGACCGAGCAACGCCGCGUGAGUGCAGAAGCUUUUAGGAUCGUAAAACUCUGUUGUUAGAGAAGAACAAGGAUGAGAGUGGAAAGUUAAUACAUUGACGGUAUCUAAACAGAAAGCCACGGCUAACUACGUG
rnacentral:rRNA from 1 species